rnacentral:lncRNA from 1 species
ACAAACCAGUAGGAGGUGGCUGUAUUGUAUCUAUUGUAUGCCUUGGCUGGUGCAUUUUUUUUUUUAAACAAUUCCCUGGACGUGAAAUUGAGAGUGAAAAGCAUGGCAGAUGAACAAGAAAUCAUGUGCAAAUUGGAAAGCAUUAAAGAGAUCAGGUAAGCGGGUCACUGCUUAAUGCAGCAUCCUUCCACUCUCCUCGAUCACCCCUCCCUUCCCAGGCAUCCCUGGGAGCAAGGAGUACUGCUUGUUGUUGGUUUGUUUUUGUUUUUGUUGUUGUUGUUUGGUGAAAACUAUCUAUUGUUGGGCUACUUGCAAAGGGAAUCAGGAGCUGGAAGGGGGUCCAUUCAUCACAGACUUAAUAGAUGAGGUGAAGAAUGAAGGGGCUUGGCUAAAUUGAAAUCAAGUCUAGAGGAGGUAGUUGGUGGAAGUGUGUGUGUGUGUGUGUGUGUGUGUGUGUGUGUGUGUGUGUUGUGUGUACCAGGAAGAAGGGAAGAAGUGGAGAUGGCGAUGUCUUCCCAGAUGUAGCUGAGAUAGAAUAGAGGUAGAGGGAUAAACCAGGACAACUAAAUGUAUUUUUUUUUUUAGUGUUCUUUUUGUUUAGAACAAGUCGCUUUUUGCUUCUUGCUUUAUAACAGUUGAGAAUGAUUUUUCUGUCAGCCUCAUGACCCAGAGCUUGAGAAAGCCUUUUGAAAGCCAAGUUUAACUGGCCAAUUCAUUCAGUUUGCAACUUUGCUGUGGCUGUAGUCUGAGGAUGCUGAUGAAGCUGGGGAGUGGGCUGUUCUUAUUUGCCUGUAACUCUUUCACCACUUUUUUUUUUCCUAUCCUGGGGUUGGAAGAAGGUUGUGAACUAUGAGGAUGUGAACAAGAGCUGGAGGUUUGGCAAACUGAGAAUUGUCACACCUCCAAUAGGUUACUCAGUGAGCAAGUUUUUGAUACUGCAGUGUUAUUCCCGCCAAGAAAACAAUAAUAAUUCAAAUGCUGACUAUGUUGGCCUCCCCUGCUGUGCCUAACUCCCUGAAUCUGUAGUGUUUUUCAGACAUAUGGAAAAAGAAAGAAAAAGGACAUAGAGUGUAUCUUUUGUUAAAAAUUAGGCCAUAUAAUUUAACCCUGACAAAAUUGACAAUAGAUUUAACCUUUGUGGUAUCUCUGCGGGAUCUACACAUGGUGAUGGUAGUGAAGAAUCUUGGUUUCUUCUUCCUUUUGGAGGGAUUGUGUGUUUUUCCUUUUGCAAAGUAAGGAAAUGAUCAUUUAUUGAGCCCCUGUUAUGCCAGCCCCUCCCCCAUUUCAAUCCAUUUUUGCAAGUUCCCUGUGACCUUUGUCAUAAGUGGAAAAAUGGGGGUCUGGAGAAUUUGAGUGAGUUCUUAUAUUCAUGAAGCUUAACAAUGCUACAUUUUCACAGGAAUUGAGUCUGCCUACAAAGGCUCUGUUCUUCUGUUUCCCACUGAAGGUCUGCUGCUGUCUUUUUCUACAAAGACAUCAGGAGAUAGGAAAUGAGAUUCUUUGGUGCAGAAGAAUGCUAAGGAUGAAACUAAUGAAAAGCUUAGACCUUUGAAUAGAGGGUCUCUAACUUCAGUCUUCUCUUCAUGGACUUUAAAAUAAGUUUAUCUUAUCCCCAGAAGUGGACUAUUUGGGAUCAAGGUCAUUAAUCCCCAGUGAAAAUAGACCCUUUUCAGUGGAGAACAAGUCAGGAGCCAUGACUUCUUUUCUCAACCAGGUUAGAUAGUAGAAGGAGAGAUUUAGAGAGAAGGCUGAAGUUCCACUCCAAUAACAUGAAUUUCCACUCCAAUAACACUUGGUUGUUAAGAAAGAUCCAGUGUAAAAGCUAGAUUUCUGCUGAGAGUAUCACAAGGCCUACUAAGACAAAAGAUUUAAGUAAGAUCCAGAAUAUCCAACUUUUAUUGAAAAAUUUCACGCUGUACCAAUAACUCUUCGUGAAUGAAAAACUACAUAGAUAUCAAUAUUGAUAAAUCACAGAUUCAGAAUAAUAUAACACGAGUUUUAAAAUAUACAUCAUGUAAGUGCCUCUGUAAACAACUGCAACACCCUGGGAGCAUUUAAACAUACAAAAACCACAAUGCAGAGAAACUUCGGACUUUUAAACAGUGUUGGAAACGUUAAGGACUACAGAGACUUUUGGAGUUGGAGUAAAUGACAAUUUGUAUUUUUCUUGUCACCAAUCAAAGAGCCAGGUAUUACAGUGUGUUGGUUUCAAUGAGGAAGUUCCCAAUAGGCUUGGGUAUUUGAUUCUUGGUUUCCAGUUAAUGGUGCUAUUUGGAGUGAUAGUAUAACACUGCUGGAGGAAGGGCUUUGCUGGAGUAGCAGGUUCGAGGACUGGGCAUUACCAAUUCUCUCUGCUUCCUGUUUGAGGUUGCUUCUUACCUUCCUGUCCUUGCUGCCUGCUGCCAUCUCUCUCCUGCCAUUAUGGACUUUCCUUCUGAAACCAUAAAUCCAAAUACAUUCUUCCUUAAGUUAAAGAAAAUUACAAACCACAGGAAAUAGACAAGUACCAACAGCAAUAAAAACAAAAGAAGAUGCUAAAGGGCAUCUUUAAAACAACCUUAAAAACUCAACAGAUAGGUUCAACUGUAAGACAG